rnacentral:misc_RNA from 1 species
AAAAUGAAGCCGGGAAACCGGUCCUUCUAACCCUUGAUUAUCUUAAUUUGUUGCUUUGGUGGGCCGCGCAAGCACCGGCUUCGGCUGGAUCGUGCCCGCCAGAGGACCCCAAAUUCUGAAUGUUAGUGUCGUCUGAGUACUAUAUAAUAGUUA